rnacentral:rRNA from 1 species
GACGAACGCUGGCGGCGUGCUUAAUACAUGCAAGUCGAACGGAAAGGCCCUGCUUUUGUGGGGUGCUCGAGUGGCGAACGGGUGAGUAACACGUGAGUAACCUGCCCUUGACUUUGGGAUAACUUCAGGAAACUGGGGCUAAUACCGGAUAGGAGCUCCUGCUGCAUGGUGGGGGUUGAAAAGUUUCGGCGGUUGGGGAUGGACUCGCGGCUUAUCAGCUUGUUGGUGGGGUAGUGGCUUACCAAGGCUUUGACGGGUAGCCGGCCUGAGAGGGUGACCGGCCACAUUGGGACUGAGAUACGGCCCAGACUCCUACGGGAGGCAGCAGUGGGGAAUAUUGCACAAUGGGCGGAAGCCUGAUGCAGCAACGCCGCGUGCGGGAUGACGGCCUUCGGGUUGUAAACCGCUUUCGCCUGUGACGAAGCGUGAGUGACGGUAAUGGGUAAAGAAGCACCGGCUAACUACGUG